rnacentral:misc_RNA from 1 species
CCUGAGAGAGCGGCUGAUGGAGAAGGGAAGGAGCAAAAGGAAGCUGAGAGAAAUGAAGAGCAGAGUGAGUCAGUGCUCACGGCGGAGACGGAAGAGAUGGCGGUGGUAAGUUCACCGCAGCAGGCAGUAAGCAACCACAAGGGUUUGGCAAGGAAGGUAUUGCCGGACGUGUUAGGAUUAUUAAAUUCUCGUUUAUGGAGUCUUUGGGG